GGGUUGUGAGGUUAAGCGACUAAGCGUACACGGUGGAUGCCCUGGCAGUCAGAGGCGAUGAAGGACGUGCUAAUCUGCGAUAAGCGUCGGUAAGGUGAUAUGAACCGUUAUAACCGGCGAUUUCCGAAUGGGGAAACCCAGUGUGAUUCGUCACACUAUCAUUAACUGAAUCCAUAGGUUAAUGAGGCGAACCGGGGGAACUGAAACAUCUAAGUACCCCGAGGAAAAGAAAUCAACCGAGAUUCCCCCAGUAGCGGCGAGCGAACGGGGAGCAGCCCAGAGCCUGAAUCAGUGUGUGUGUUAGUGGAAGCGUCUGGAAAGGCGCGCGAUACAGGGUGACAGCCCCGUACACAAAAAUGCACAUACUGUGAGCUCGAUGAGUAGGGCGGGACACGUGGUAUCCUGUCUGAAUAUGGGGGGACCAUCCUCCAAGGCUAAAUACUCCUGACUGACCGAUAGUGAACCAGUACCGUGAGGGAAAGGCGAAAAGAACCCCGGCGAGGGGAGUGAAAAAGAACCUGAAACCGUGUACGUACAAGCAGUGGGAGCACAGAGCAAUCUGUGUGACUGCGUACCUUUUGUAUAAUGGGUCAGCGACUUAUAUUCUGUAGCAAGGUUAACCGAAUAGGGGAGCCGAAGGGAAACCGAGUCUUAACUGGGCGUUAAGUUGCAGGGUAUAGACCCGAAACCCGGUGAUCUAGCCAUGGGCAGGUUGAAGGUUGGGUAACACUAACUGGAGGACCGAACCGACUAAUGUUGAAAAAUUAGCGGAUGACUUGUGGCUGGGGGUGAAAGGCCAAUCAAACCGGGAGAUAGCUGGUUCUCCCCGAAAGCUAUUUAGGUAGCGCCUCGUGAAUUCAUCUCCGGGGGUAGAGCACUGUUUCGGCAAGGGGGUCAUCCCGACUUACCAACCCGAUGCAAACUGCGAAUACCGGAGAAUGUUAUCACGGGAGACACACGGCGGGUGCUAACGUCCGUCGUGAAGAGGGAAACAACCCAGACCGCCAGCUAAGGUCCCAAAGUCAUGGUUAAGUGGGAAACGAUGUGGGAAGGCCCAGACAGCCAGGAUGUUGGCUUAGAAGCAGCCAUCAUUUAAAGAAAGCGUAAUAGCUCACUGGUCGAGUCGGCCUGCGCGGAAGAUGUAACGGGGCUAAACCAUGCACCGAAGCUGCGGCAGCGACGCUUAUGCGUUGUUGGGUAGGGGAGCGUUCUGUAAGCCUGCGAAGGUGUGCUGUGAGGCAUGCUGGAGGUAUCAGAAGUGCGAAUGCUGACAUAAGUAACGAUAAAGCGGGUGAAAAGCCCGCUCGCCGGAAGACCAAGGGUUCCUGUCCAACGUUAAUCGGGGCAGGGUGAGUCGACCCCUAAGGCGAGGCCGAAAGGCGUAGUCGAUGGGAAACAGGUUAAUAUUCCUGUACUUGGUGUUACUGCGAAGGGGGGACGGAGAAGGCUAUGUUGGCCGGGCGACGGUUGUCCCGGUUUAAGCGUGUAGGCUGGUUUUCCAGGCAAAUCCGGAAAAUCAAGGCUGAGGCGUGAUGACGAGGCACUACGGUGCUGAAGCAACAAAUGCCCUGCUUCCAGGAAAAGCCUCUAAGCAUCAGGUAACAUCAAAUCGUACCCCAAACCGACACAGGUGGUCAGGUAGAGAAUACCAAGGCGCUUGAGAGAACUCGGGUGAAGGAACUAGGCAAAAUGGUGCCGUAACUUCGGGAGAAGGCACGCUGAUAUGUAGGUGAAGCGACUUGCUCGUGGAGCUGAAAUCAGUCGAAGAUACCAGCUGGCUGCAACUGUUUAUUAAAAACACAGCACUGUGCAAACACGAAAGUGGACGUAUACGGUGUGACGCCUGCCCGGUGCCGGAAGGUUAAUUGAUGGGGUUAGCGCAAGCGAAGCUCUUGAUCGAAGCCCCGGUAAACGGCGGCCGUAACUAUAACGGUCCUAAGGUAGCGAAAUUCCUUGUCGGGUAAGUUCCGACCUGCACGAAUGGCGUAAUGAUGGCCAGGCUGUCUCCACCCGAGACUCAGUGAAAUUGAACUCGCUGUGAAGAUGCAGUGUACCCGCGGCAAGACGGAAAGACCCCGUGAACCUUUACUAUAGCUUGACACUGAACAUUGAGCCUUGAUGUGUAGGAUAGGUGGGAGGCUUUGAAGUGUGGACGCCAGUCUGCAUGGAGCCGACCUUGAAAUACCACCCUUUAAUGUUUGAUGUUCUAACGUUGACCCGUAAUCCGGGUUGCGGACAGUGUCUGGUGGGUAGUUUGACUGGGGCGGUCUCCUCCUAAAGAGUAACGGAGGAGCACGAAGGUUGGCUAAUCCUGGUCGGACAUCAGGAGGUUAGUGCAAUGGCAUAAGCCAGCUUGACUGCGAGCGUGACGGCGCGAGCAGGUGCGAAAGCAGGUCAUAGUGAUCCGGUGGUUCUGAAUGGAAGGGCCAUCGCUCAACGGAUAAAAGGUACUCCGGGGAUAACAGGCUGAUACCGCCCAAGAGUUCAUAUCGACGGCGGUGUUUGGCACCUCGAUGUCGGCUCAUCACAUCCUGGGGCUGAAGUAGGUCCCAAGGGUAUGGCUGUUCGCCAUUUAAAGUGGUACGCGAGCUGGGUUUAGAACGUCGUGAGACAGUUCGGUCCCUAUCUGCCGUGGGCGCUGGAGAACUGAGGGGGGCUGCUCCUAGUACGAGAGGACCGGAGUGGACGCAUCACUGGUGUUCGGGUUGUCAUGCCAAUGGCACUGCCCGGUAGCUAAAUGCGGAAGAGAUAAGUGCUGAAAGCAUCUAAGCACGAAACUUGCCCCGAGAUGAGUUCUCCCUGACUCCUUGAGAGUCCUGAAGGAACGUUGAAGACGACGACGUUGAUAGGCCGGAUGUGUAAGCGCAGCGAUGCGUUGAGCUAACCGGUACUAAUGAACCGUGAGGCUUAACCUUACAACGCCGAAGGUGUUU
rnacentral:rRNA from 1 species